UAGAUUGAUAAGAAAAACAAGGUAAAAGCCGAUCGAAAUGUGUUCCAAGAUGGGUAACUGUGACAAAUGCUAAAACAACAAGAAUUAAUUGAUAAAACUUGCAAAGUUAGCAAAUAUCGAUAACUUGUGAAUAAAUCUAGAUGAAACGACACCGAUGCGCCUGAAGUUAAAGCCUAGAAAGUAUUCAGUAGACACAGAACUUAUAGUCUAGCCGGAGAUCGAAGCGAUGCAGCUCAACUAGCUUGGAAGAACUCGUUAAGAAAAGAAAAUAAUGGCGAAGUCGCCGACUUGAAAGUAAAUUGCGAGGAUAGUAGAUUUGUAUUGAUUAUGAUGUGUCUCGUUCCAGACCUCGUAGGGCCUCUAUUUAUACCCUAAACAUCAAGACUUCUAGCCCUAGUCGAUUAUGACAAAACAUAAGAUCUAUCUCUAAAGAAACAAACUUUCUAAACAAAACAAAAUUAAAAUGACUCGUAUGGGAGUCGGAAAUGAACUUGACCACCAUCAGCCAAAACCAGCUUUUCAUCGGCCGAAGCUCCAACAUCUCCAAUCGGCUUGAAUCCUUCUGCUCGCAUCGACUGGAUCCCCAUCACCUCCGAUCGGCUGAUCCCAUCGGCUAUGCCCCUAUCAUCUUCGAUCGACUGCACCCUUGUGAUUCCAUCAUCCGAUUUUACUAGCCGUUGCUCUUCUUUCCUACAUCAGCAUCUCCGCUUCCUUUUGAUGCCAAUUUUGACACGUGUCAAAAAAUGGUGUCAACAACUUGAUAUGAGAAAGGAUCAUGCAAGCUCCAAUAAAAAAUUCUAGGUUGCAUCAAAGCCAAUUCUCAAUCUCCCCCAUGAUGAAUCCCACAAGACAACCAAAAGAUUCAAGCAAAAGACACAAGGGCUUCAUGAAUCUGAAAAUGCCAUCAAAGCUAUUUCAACAUUUGUCAAAUGCUCAUCACUAUAAAAUCAAGGUUCAUAUCAACUUGAUUUUCUCAAUCUCCCCCUUGAUGAGUGUGUUGACAACAUUCAAGCACAAAUAAAUGGUUUGAGAGGUAAAAGCCGAAAAUCUCAUCCAAGUGAUCAAAAGCCAAGUAAAGGCAAGGAUUAAAGUCACUAGGCAUGAGAAGCAUCACAAAUGCCAAAUCAACUUGGAAAACUCUCGAUCCCCAAAGAUAUGGGCAAGGGCUCGACACAACCGAGACAAAGAGCACAUGAUUCCUCAAGAAGAGGCAGAAAGGGGCUCAAUACCAAUCAUGUGAAGAUCGAAAGCACAUGAUCCCUCAAGAAGAAGCAGAAAGGGCUCAACACCAAUCAUGUGACGAUCGAAAGCUCAAAUCAAAUGCCGGUUCCUCAAGAAGAGGUAAAAGCUCACACAACCGAUAAAAGAGUAAAAGAGAGCACAAAACUAGCACAAAGCUCAGAAACUGCCACUAAACACAAGCAACAUAGCAAGAAAGCACACAAAGCUCACAAGCUCCCCCUAAACAUAUGCACUCUGCCUAAAAACAUGCCACAAUGAAAUUCAUGCACAAGAGCAAAAGAAUGCAUGCUCCCCCUCAAAUGCAAAACUCCCCCUUAAAUGCAAGACUCCCCCUUAAAUGCAAACACAAAGAUUCACAUGGGAGCACAAAAUGCAUAUAAUGAGGUGUACA
rnacentral:lncRNA from 1 species